ACAAGGCACUGCAUUCUGAUACACUUCCUGUCUUCUCUACCAUUUAGCUCCUUUGCCAGAACAUGUGCUUUCACCUAAAAGCAGCAAUUUGGAUUCGCUUUGCCCUUUUGUACCACCCGCUGCUAUACACCCCCCUGUGUAAUACAACAGAAUCCAUGGCUACUUGGAAGACACGAUGAAAAGGAAGCACUCCUGCCUUUGCAUGUUUCAGCUCUUUGUUCCAGGUACCUUUGCUACUUACAUUUCUGAAUAUCCC
rnacentral:lncRNA from 11 species